GGGUCUUUCAAGACGAACAAGUACAUACACCUUUUUCCUUCACCUUUUAGGAUCUAACAUUCACUUUAUGUUCUAACAAUAUAUGAAGGAAGGUGAAGAACUUUAAGAACAACAACAACCACACCAAGAACAAUAACAACAAUCUUCAAGAACAACAAAAAUUCCAAUGGCCAACUCCAAUCCACAAUAACAAUAUCUCCAACACUUG
rnacentral:lncRNA from 1 species